rnacentral:rRNA from 1 species
CCUACGGGAGGCAGCAGUGGGGAAUAUUGCACAAUGGGGGAAACCCUGAUGCAGCGACGCCGCGUGAGUGAAGAAGUAAUUCGUUAUGUAAAGCUCUAUCAGCAGGGAAGAAAAUGACGGUACCUGAGUAAGAAGCUCCGGCUAACUACGUGCCAGCAGCCGCGGUAAUACGUAGGGGGCAAGCGUUAUCCGGAUUUACUGGGUGUAAAGGGAGCGUAGACGGCAGUGCAAGUCUGGAGUGAAAGGCGGGGGCUCAAACCCCGGACUGCUGUAGAAACUGUACGGCUUGAGUGCAGGAGAGGUAAGUGGAAUUCCUAGUGUAGCGGUGAAAUGCGUAGAUAUUAGGAGGAACACCAGUGGCGAAGGCGGCUUACUGGACUGUAACUGACGUUGAGGCUCGAAAGCGUGGGGAGCAAACAGGAUUAGAUACCCCAGUAGUC